rnacentral:piRNA from 1 species
UCUGUGUGACAAAACGUUUAG